rnacentral:rRNA from 1 species
CUGGCGGCAUGGCUAAAACAUGCAAGUCGAGCGCGAAAGCUCCUUCGGGAGCAAGUAGAGCGGCGAAAGGGCGAGUAAUACGUUCCUACGUACCCCCAGGUCAGGGAUAGCCCAGGGAAACCUGGAUUAAUAUCUGAUGUGGUCUCCGGAUCAAAGGCCUCGGCCGCCCGGGGAGCGGGGAACGUCCUAUCAGGUUGUUGGUAAGGUAACGGCUCACCAAGCCGUUGACGGGUAGCGGGUGUGAGAGCAUGACCCGCCGCAUCGGGACUGAGACACUGCCCGGACUCCUACGGGAGGCUGCAGUAACGAAUCUUCCGCAAUGCGCGAAAGCGUGACGGAGCAAUGCCGCGUGUAGGAUGAAGCCCCUCGGGGUGUAAACUACUGUCAGAGUUCAGCAACACAAUGAGCAGACUCAAAGGAAGGGCCGGCUAACUUCGUGCCAGCAGCCGCGGUAAUACGAAGGGCCCGAGCGUUGCGCGGAAUCAUUGGGCUUAAAGCGUACGUAGGCGGGCGCGCAGGCGUCUUGUGAAAUCCCUCGGCUCAACCGAGGAAUCGCUCGACGAACCGCGCGUCUUGAGGCAGGUAGGGGUUGUCGGAACGCUCGGUGGAGUGGUGAAAUGCGUUGAUAUCGAGCGGAACGCCGAAGGUGAAAACAGGCAACUGGGGCCUGUCCUGACGCUGGAGGUACGAAAGCGUG